ACGUCUGGCUACACCCUGCACAAAUAUUUCAAUAUAAACAUAUUUAAUGUAUUUUAUGGUUGACUUCUUCUCUUAUACCAAGUGAAUAUCAACAAAGUGUACCAAAAUGUGCCAACGUGAUAAAAUAACCAGUGAAGACAAACACAAGGUAUGUGUAUAAACUGUUCACUAAGUGCACACAUGCCUUCAAAUUGUUGUUUUAAUCCGUGAGCUGCGCCAUGUGUGCUGCUCGGGUCAGGGUGUCUACGCCGUUGCCCUUUUAAGGACGCUGUGGGAAGCAGGAGAAUGACGUUUACAGGCGCGAGCCCGGAGUCGCUGCUCUCAGCGCCAGGCGGAGCGGCGAGAAACAACGCACGGUGAGUUCCACUGCUAACUUUCUCUCUUCAUCAGUCUUGCUCGUAUGUACGAGUCUGUCCCGAGACAGCGCUAUACGCUCGAACAACGACAACACUAUAAGGGGUUCGAGUGAACAGGAAUAGUCUCAAAACUCAGGAGAAUACGGUGUUAUUGGGGCGCGCGGUUGGCGCAAAGCUAGUGAGCUAAGGUAGCUAGCAGGCGCCGCUAGUCCCGUAUAAACACACCAGUGUUUGGUUAGCAAGCUAGCGCUAGUCGGGGUUAGCAAGCUAAAACUGAGACUGGCGCUUGUUCAAAUAUGGCGGUGGAGGAUGAGAUGCCGCUACACAUUUAGCUCCAACUUUCUGUGUCGUCUUCAGUGACAUAUCUUGUGUACUUGUGUAUUGUGGUCUAAAGCGUUACCGCGAGUUCACCACUGAAGGGAACUCAAACUCGCGGUAGCUACUCUGUGUCUGAGAGAGAGAGAGAGAGAGAGAGAGAUAUCGAGCCAAGUCAGCUAGCUAGUCUGCAGUCCAUAUUGAGUUCAGCGUUAGCCUGCCAGCUAACCUAGCAAAAACUUCUUUAAGCAUUUUUGUCUACAGCUAAUCAGGUUGUAAUGUUUAAAACUUGCUUUUUUUUUUAUUAUAUAUUAAUCCUUAGAUCACUUCUCAGAGACGGCCUUGCUAGUUAUCUAUUUAGCUUAGUUUUCGGUUAUAUAGACUGAGCGUGCUCGGGUUUUAGCACAGUUACAACAGGCGGUUAAUCUUAUGCCAGUUAUUUACAUAUGGCUGUAUCAUCUUGUACUGAACCAUCCAUGAGUGAUGUGCACACACAACUCUGGCUCAUAUGCACUGAAGUUUUGUAAUGAGGUAACGAGUUUCCCGAAUGCUAGCAGUGAUGCUAUGAUGGGCGUUUCUCAGUGUUUAAUUAAUCUUCUGAUUCUUCUCUUAUUAUUAUUAUUAUUAUUAUUAUUAUUAUUAUUAUUAUUAUUAUUGCCAGUCUGUUGGUGUUUAUUGAGACCUUGCGUUCUGUGUUAUUUGUUUGACCCAUCUUAUCCAUGCACACAUUGGACAAGUAAUGAAAACUUUUUUCAUUUGUAAAGGGAAGUUGGAGAAGUCACAAGUAAAACCAAGAUUUUUUAGACCUCUAAUAUGCAGCCAAACUGUUGUAUAGUGUUAUGAAUGCUUGCAAAAUUUGCAGAAGUAAAAUAAGAAGUAACUGAUUUGUACAAAUAAGACACUGGAAUGGUAGGAAUGCCCAUUUGUGGAGUGUAGUGGGUUUUUUAUUUUUUUAUUUUUUUUUAUUAUUUUUUUUUACUUUUCUGGACACAUCACCUUAUGUACAGAUGGUAAAGUUUUAACAAACAGAAACUUACACAGUUUACUUUUGUUUUUCUUUGGCCUUCUUUAACUCAAGCACAAAGCACUUUUUUUUUUGUUGUUUUAUUAAAAAAAAAUAUUCAGAAUAACAAUUCAUUACAAUUGCGAAACAAAUCUUCUGUCUGACCAUGUUAAAAUUAUUACUGAGCGUAAACAGCCUCUGACCUAUAACUACAUUUUCAGUGUUACUCAUCCAUUUAAAUAAAAACAUGUCAACAUGGUUAUUAAUACACUUUUGAGGAAGUUUCUUCUAUAUAGUUUUGUUUGAGUUAAACAAAGAGCUAAAUGUUUUUUAGGUCUUGCUUCGUGUCGCACACAUCUAGUCAUGUAUGCAAAUCUAGUCAUGGAUGGUGACUGUCAUGGUGUUAAUUAUGGUUUGGGUUUGGUUUCCUUACAGAGCUCAACCCAAAUCAUGGACUAAAUUGCCAAGCCAUUGAAGAUUCACCAGACAAACUCCUUAUUGGUAUUUAUUUUGGGUUUAAUCCAGGUGCGUCCAGCUGUGUCCUGUAUCUUUUUGUCUCAACACAACAUGCUGCGUGUUCUGGGUGCUGUAUGCUUGAAGAUGUCUAAUGCUGCUUGUGUGGUUGUUGGACCGUAUCUGCUUAGUAGUGUGUAAAUACCAGGAAGGCUCUCAAGCUCUUAGCAACCUCUCACAGUGGCAUUUCAUAAUGUUUACUGGUUACAAAGGCAGCCGAACAGAUGAUCCUGACAGCGGCCUCUCUGAUUCACUACCACCCCUUCAACUGUUCAUUACAGGUUUUCUUACCAGCAGUUAAAUUGGCACUAAAAGUUCCCGGGCUGUAGAGGUGUGUGCCGAGAGACC
ensembl:lncRNA